GUGUCAGCAGCCGCGGUAAUACAGAGGGUGCAAGCGUUAAUCUGAAUUACUGGGCGUAAAGCGAGCGAAGGUGGCUUGAUAAGUCACAUGUGAAAUCCCCCGGCUUAACCUGGGCACUGCAUCUGAUACUGUUGGGCUAGAGUAGGUGAGAGGGAGGUAGAAUUUCGGGUGUAGCGGUGAAAUGCGUAGAGAUCUGAAGGAAUACCGAUUGCGAAGGCAGCCUCCUGGCAUCAUACUGACACUGAGGUGCGAAAGCGUGGGUAGCAAACAGGAUUAGAUACCCUUGUAGUCC
rnacentral:rRNA from 1 species